UACGUAGGGUGCGAGCGUUAAUCGGAAUUACUGGGCGUAAAGCGUGCGCAGGCGGUUUUGCCAUACAGAUGUGAAAUCCCCGGGCUUAACCUGGGAACUGCAUUUGUGACUGCAAGGCUAGAGUACGGCAGAGGGGGGUAGAAUUCCACGUGUAGCAGUGAAAUGCGUAGAGAUGUGGAGGAACACCGAUGGCGAAGGCAGCCCCCUGGGCUAACACUGACGCUCAGGCACGAAAGCGUGGGGAGCAAACAGG
rnacentral:rRNA from 1 species